GGGAGGUAGUGACAAUAAAUAACAAUACGGGGUCCCUUCGGGUUUCGUAAUUGGAAUGAGUACAAUUUAAAUCUCUUAACGGGGAACAAUUGGAGGGCAAGUCUGGUGCCAGCAGCCGCGGUAAUUCCAGCUCCAAUAGCGUAUAUUAAAGUUGUUGCAGUUAAAAAGCUCGUAGUUGAGUUUCGGGGUUAGUAAGUUGGUCAUGCCUUCGGUAUGUACUGGCUUUACUGAUUCCUCCUUCUUGACGAACCGUGAUGUAAUUAAUUUGGUGUUGCGGGAAAUCAGGACUGUUACUUUGAAAAAUCAGAGUGUUUAAAGCAAGCUAACGCUUGAAUACAUUAGCAUGGAAUAAUGAAAUAGGACGUUCGAUCCUAUUUUGUUGGUUUCUAGGAUUGACGUAAUGAUUAAUAGGGAUAGUUGGG
rnacentral:rRNA from 1 species